rnacentral:rRNA from 1 species
GACGAACGCUGGCGGCGUGCUUAACACAUGCAAGUCGUACGGUAAGGCCCUUUCGGGGGUACACGAGUGGCGAACGGGUGAGUAACACGUGAGUAACCUGCCCACAACUUUGGGAUAACGCUAGGAAACUGGUGCUAAUACUGGAUAUGAGCCCCUGCUGCAUGGUGGGGGUUGGAAAGCUCCGGCGGUUGUGGAUGGACUCGCGGCCUAUCAGCUUGUUGGUGGGGUAGUGGCCUACCAAGGCGGCGACGGGUAGCCGGCCUGAGAGGGUGACCGGCCACAUUGGGACUGAGAUACGGCCCAGACUCCUACGGGAGGCAGCAGUGGGGAAUAUUGCACAAUGGGCGCAAGCCUGAUGCAGCAACGCCGCGUGCGGGAUGACGGCCUUCGGGUUGUAAACCGCUUUCAGCAGGGACGAAGCUUUUUGUGACGGUACCUGCAGAAGAAGCACCGGCUAACUACGUG